UAUUUUUUCGACACUCAGUAAUCUUUAUGGUUGGACUAUAUAUGUCAAUUUAUUAUAUAAGAGUGACAGAGCAAAAAAAUAAACAUGUUUUAUAUAUAUAUAUAUAUAUCUAUAUAUGUAUAUGUAUAUAGCUUACUUGUGGGUAUGAUGUGGGUGUUACACGUUUCAUAGGCUGAUCUGUAAAGAUAGUGGACUCUCUCAAUCUUUACUGGGACGGUUGCAGGGGUAGAAUAAUUUUAAUGUUCCGAAGGAGAAGAGAGAGCUGCUUUAGUCGUAGCAACCUGGACUCUCGAUGCCCGUCCGCUCUUCAAAAAUCAGCAGUGAACUCUGACCUUCCAUGAUGCUUAUACAUGCACAGCGGAGAGGAGUGGCACUUAUGAUAGGCAAUGGUAGACACACAAAGGGGAACCAAUCAGCCAAAACCAAAUGUAUCCAUAGAGGGGUGCAUUGCAGGCUGGUCUAGAAGGGUAACAGCAGACGCCAGCUCCCAGCGUCAUUACAGGAUUCUAAUAUCCCUGUGUAGGUGAAUAGUUGGACCAAACUGGACAAGCUUCUAUCUAUCCUCCAUCCUUCAACCAUUCAAAAGAAGAGGGGAAAAGAACGGUGGAAGUCAGAGGAGACCAAUACAGAUGUGUUCUGUUGUUCUGAAGAGAACAGCUGAUGUGUUAUGUUGUUCUGAAGAGAACAGUGGAAGUCAGAUGUGUUCUGUUGUUCUGAAGAGAACAGUGGAAGUCAGAUUUGUUCUGUUGUUCUGAAGAGAACAGUGGAAGUCAGAAGUGUUCUGUUGUUCUGAAGAGAACAGUGGAAGUCAGAUGUGUUCUGUUGUUCUGAAGAGAACAGUGGAAGUCAGAUGUGUUCUGUUGUUCUGAAGAGAACAGGGGAUGUCAGAUGUGUUCUGUUGUUCUGAAGAGAACAGUGGAUGUCAGAUGUGUUCUGUUGUUCUGAAGAGAACAGUGGAAGUUGGAGGAGACCAAUACAGAUGUUCUGAAGAGAACAGUGGAAGUCAGAUGUGUGCUGUUCUUCUGAAGAGAACAGUGGAAGUCAGAUGUGUUCUGUUGUUCUGAAGAGAACAGUGGAUGUCAGAUGUGUUAUGUUGUUCUGAAGAGAACAGUGGAUGUCAGCUGAGUUCUGUUGUUCCGAAGAGAACAGUGGAUGUCAGAUGAGUUCUGUUGUUCUGAAGAGAACAGUGGAAGUUGGAGGAGACCAAUACAGAUGUUCUGAAGAGAACAGUGGAAGUCAGAUGUGUGCUGUUGUUCUGAAGAGAACAGUGGAAGUCAGAUGUGUGCUGUUGUUCUGAAGAGAACAGUGGAAGUCAGAUGUGUGCUGUUGUUCUGAAGAGAACAGUGGAAUUCAGAUGUGUGCUGUUGUUCUGAAGAGAACAGUGGAAGUCAGAGGAGACCAAUACAGAUGUUCUGAAGUCAGAUGUUUUCUGUUGUUCUGAAGAGAACAGUGGAAGUCAGAGGAGACCAA